AGGUAGCGAAAUUCCUUGUCGGGUAAGUUCCGACCCGCACGAAAGGCGUAACGAUCUGGGCACUGUCUCAACGAGAGACUCGGUGAAAUUAUAAUACCCGUGAAGAUGCGGGUUACCCGCGACAGGACGGAAAGACCCCAUGGAGCUUUACUGUAGCUUGAUAUUGGAUCUCGAUGUGUUAUGUAGAGGAUAGGUGGGAGACUAUGAUGUUAGGACGCUAGUUCUAACGGAGUCAACCUUGGAAUACCACCCUUAGCAUGUUGAGAUUCUAACCUCGACCCAUUAUCUGGGUCAGGGACAGUGUCUGGUGGGCAGUUUGACUGGGGCGGUCGCCUCCCAAAAAGUAACGGAGGCGCUCAAAGGUUCCCUCAGAAUGGUUGGAAAUCAUUCGAAGAGCGUAAUGGUAUAAGGGAGCUUUACUGCGAGACCUACAAGUCAAGCAGUUACGAAAGUAGGACAUAGUGGGCCGGCGAUUCAGAAUGGAAUGGUCGUCGCUUAACGGAUAAAAGUUACCCUGGGGAUAACAGGCUGAUACCACCCAAUAGUUCACAUAGACGGUGGUGUUUGGCACCUCGAUGUCGGCUCGUCACAUCCUGGAGGUGGAGUCGCUUCCAAGGGUUGGGCUGUUCGCCCAUUAAAGUGGCACGCGAGCUGGGUUCAGAACGUCGUGAGACAGUUCGGUCCCUAUCCGUCGUGGGCGCAGGAAAAUUGAGAAGAGCUAUCCUUAGUACGAGAGGACCGGGAUGGACAUACCUCUGGUGUAUCUGUUGUAACGCCAGUUGCAGUGCAGAGUAGCUAUGUAUGGAAUCGAUAACCGCUGAAAGCAUCUAAGCGGGAAGCGAACUUCAAGAUGAAUUUUCCCAUAUUUUUAUAAUAGUAAGAUCCCUGAAAGACUAUCAGGUUGAUAGGCUGGAGAUGGAAGUGUAGUGAUACAUUGAGUUGACCAGUACUAAUAGAUCGAGGAUUUAACCAU
rnacentral:rRNA from 1 species